rnacentral:lncRNA from 1 species
CGAUGGGAAUAGUUAUAGCCAAGAACCAUCUAGUGCCAACAUAGAGAAGUCAACCAUAGUAGUCUUAAGCGGGGAACCCAACAAGAACUUGACUGCUUCUAAGAGAGCCAUUAAAAUUAAUCUUCAAAAUCUCAAAGGAGGGGACCACUAAACCUAUGAGGUAGCACAUAUUUUAGGAUGAUAAUUCCAAGAUCAACAAUGAUGUAGAUGGAGGUGACAAAAUCACCCC